rnacentral:rRNA from 1 species
GGGAACCUCACCCGGCCCGGACACCGCAAGGAUUGACAGACUGAGAGCUCUUUCUCGAUUCGGUGGGUGGUGGUGCAUGGCCGUUCUUAGUUGGUGGAGCGAUCUGUCUGGUUAAUUCCGAUAACGAACGAGACCCCAACCUGCUAACUAGCCCUCGGGUCCUGCUUCUGUUGGGCCCGACGGAAUGAUUCGCUUCUUAGAGGGACUCGCGGCGCCUAGCCGCACGAAGGGGGGCGAUAA